CAGUCGACGACUUCCGUUAAUUGAUUAUGACGUACUUGUACUGAUUGAGAUUUUAACACGAAGUGAGUGGCGAACGGGUGAGUAACACGUGGGUAACCUGCCCAGAAGUAGGGGAUAACACCUGGAAACAGAUGCUAAUACCGUAUAACAGAGAAAACCGCAUGGUUUUCUUUUAAAAGAUGGCUCUGCUAUCACUUCUGGAUGGACCCGCGGCGUAUUAGCUAGUUGGUGAGGUAAAGGCUCACCAAGGCAGUGAUACGUAGCCGACCUGAGAGGGUAAUCGGCCACAUUGGGACUGAGACACGGCCCAGACUCCUACGGGAGGCAGCAGUAGGGAAUCUUCCACAAUGGACGCAAGUCUGAUGGAGCAACGCCGCGUGAGUGAAGAAGGGUUUCGGCUCGUAAAGCUCUGUUGUUAAAGAAGAACGUGGGUAAGAGUAACUGUUUACCCAGUGACGGUAUUUAACCAGAAAGCCACGGCUAACUACGUGCCAGCAGCCGCGGUAAUACGUAGGUGGCAAGCGUUAUCCGGAUUUAUUGGGCGUAAAGCGAGCGCAGGCGGUCUUUUAAGUCUAAUGUGAAAGCCUUCGGCUCAACCGAAGAAGUGCAUUGGAAACUGGGAGACUUGAGUGCAGAAGAGGACAGUGGAACUCCAUGUGUAGCGGUGAAAUGCGUAGAUAUAUGGAAGAACACCAGUGGCGAAGGCGGCUGUCUGGUCUGCAACUGACGCUGAGGCUCGAAAGCAUGGGUAGCGAACAGGAUUAGAUACCCUGGUAGUCCAUGCCGUAAACGAUGAUUACUAAGUGUUGGAGGGUUUCCGCCCUUCAGUGCUGCAGCUAACGCAUUAAGUAAUCCGCCUGGGGAGUACGACCGCAAGGUUGAAACUCAAAAGAAUUGACGGGGGCCCGCACAAGCGGUGGAGCAUGUGGUUUAAUUCGAAGCUACGCGAAGAACCUUACCAGGUCUUGACAUCUUCUGACAGUCUAAGAGAUUAGAGGUUCCCUUCGGGGACAGAAUGACAGGUGGUGCAUGGUUGUCGUCAGCUCGUGUCGUGAGAUGUUGGGUUAAGUCCCGCAACGAGCGCAACCCUUAUUACUAGUUGCCAGCAUUAAGUUGGGCACUCUAGUGAGACUGCCGGUGACAAACCGGAGGAAGGUGGGGACGACGUCAAAUCAUCAUGCCCCUUAUGACCUGGGCUACACACGUGCUACAAUGGAUGGUACAACGAGUCGCGAAACCGCGAGGUUAAGCUAAUCUCUUAAAACCAUUCUCAGUUCGGACUGUAGGCUGCAACUCGCCUACACGAAGUCGGAAUCGCUAGUAAUCGCGGAUCAGCAUGCCGCGGUGAAUACGUUCCCGGGCCUUGUACACACCGCCCGUCACACCAUGAGAGUUUGUAACACCCAAAGCCGGUGG
rnacentral:rRNA from 1 species